rnacentral:rRNA from 1 species
AUUGAACGCUGGCGGUAUGCCUUACACAUGCAAGUCGAACGGUAGAGGGGCAACCCUUGAGAGUGGCGAACGGGUGAGUAAUACAUCGGAACGUGCCCAGUCGUGGGGGAUAACGUAGCGAAAGCUACGCUAAUACCGCAUACGACCUGAGGGUUAAAGCGGGGGAUCGCAAGACCUCGCGCGAUUGGAGCGGCCGAUGGCAGAUUAGGUAGUUGGUGGGGUAAAGGCCUACCAAGCCUGCGAUCUGUAGCUGGUCUGAGAGGACGACCAGCCACACUGGGACUGAGACACGGCCCAGACUCCUACGGGAGGCAGCAGUGGGGAAUUUUGGACAAUGGGCGAAAGCCUGAUCCAGCCAUACCGCGUGCGGGAAGAAGGCCUUCGGGUUGUAAACCGCUUUUGUCAGGGAAGAAAUCUUCUGGGUUAAUACCUCGGGAGGAUGACGGUACCUGAAGAAUAAGCACCGGCUAACUACGUGCCAGCAGCCGCGGUAAUAC